rnacentral:lncRNA from 1 species
GGAAUCCAGCAGCAGGGAAAGUAAUACCCACCCUGAAUGGAGUUUCACCACUGUGCGUAAGAAGCCUGAUCCAAAGAAACUGCAGAAUGGGGAAGAGCAAGAUCUUGUGCAAACCCUGAGCUGUUUGUCUAUGAUAAUCACACCUGCAUUUGCUGAACUUAAACAGCAGGAUGAGAACAAUGCAAGCCGAAACCAGGCAAUUGAAGAACUUGAGAAAAGUAUUGCUGUGGCCGAAGCUGCCUGUCCUGGCAUCACAGAUAAAAUGGUGAAGAAACUAAUCGAAAAAUUUCAAAAGUGUUCUGCGGAUGAAUCCCCUUAAGAAAUUUGUUGUCAUUCUUUUGGCUUCUGUUUCAUGUGGACCAGGAGAAACCCACCAAAGCUAUGUCAACCUUAAUAAUGCUUAACUCAUGAGCUCCAUGUGCCUUUUGGAUCUUUGCCACAUUGAAGAUUUAGAGGAAGCUAUUCAACUAUUUUGUGAUGGUGGCUAUCAUUUUGUAUUUUAAAGAGAUUAUUUUGUAUGGAAUAAUUUUAAUACUAUAGUUUUGCCUGUAUUGUAGUAAAUGUUGAGAUACAGUGUUUUUGUUUUUUGAUUUUUUUUGUUUUUUUUUUGUUUUUUUAUUUUAGGUACCGUUAUUUCUUAUGUUCUUGGAACGAAUACUGUUUGGUAUGGAAUUUAGUUAACUGUACACUCAUAAACAUACAGGUCUUUCAACGUCAUCCUAAUUAUUAAAUGUUUGUAAAUUAUCAAACUUCAAAAUGCAUUCUCCCCCCCCCCACUAAAAAUGACAAUUUGUAGUGAGGUAGAAAUACGUAAUACCUUCUUAAAACAAGUGUUUUUUAAGAAGCUCUUGGGGGAAAAAAACACCUAGAAAAGUAUUCAUUUUCCUAGCAAGUUGUUCUGAAUUCAGGCAGUUCCAUGUCUAGCACUUGGAGAACCUUGUGUGUGAAGCAUUUCCCAUGCAACAUGUAGCAGCAGACAUACCUCUUGGUGUAUCUAUCUUCUCUUUCAAAUGGAAAAAGCAAUUCAGCCGUAUUUAACAUGGUUAGACGUUAAAGUAAUCUCAUUUAGCCAAGAAUGGGGGGUUUUGUUAGAAUGGUGGAGUUAUUCUGGCUUCAGUCUUUAAAUCUUCAGCUCAAAUCACAUAUUAUAUGCUUGAAUUUAGCAAACUUUUAACAACUUUUUGUCUUGUGAUUAAAUACCUGAUCAAUAGGUAUGAGCAUAACUUUAUACCAGCAUUUUUGUCAUGGUAAUGCAUUUUCAUAGAAACUAUUUAUACAUUUUUCUUUGUAAUUAUCCACACAUACGUAUAGUGUGUUCAAUUCUGAAGGGGUAUUUAAACGAACAUUGUCCAGCUCAUAUGAAAACCAUAGGGCAGGAUCAUUUCUCGUCAUACAAUAGUAAGAUAGACUAUGCAGUUAAUUUUCAGCUCUAUUUAUGGUACUGUUCAGUGAGUAAUGGCCUUUUUUAGCCAUAUAUAUGGCUAAAAAAAUAAUAUAUAUGAUGUUUGCCUAAGUGCUGAACUAGGGCUAUAGUUUUGUAGCUGUAGAAUUGUUGGUACUGAUUAAUUUUGACAGUUAAGAUGUUAAUGUUUGUACCUUCACAUUUGAUUUCAGCACAAACCAUUUGAAAAUGUCUGAGCAACUGCCAAAUGUGAAAAAAGAAAAAUGUUGUAUGAGUAGCUAAUGCAGUUUUUAAUUGCAAUGUCAAUUACAUACCUUCUUUUAAAAAAGAAAUACAAAUAUUUUAAAGGCAGGACAUCGCAUAUGCCAAGAAAAUUCUUUUCAUUGGUGCCUAUCCUCUAACUGUUGUUUUCAGUUGCCUGUACCUUGAAGUAAUGACUUGGUUAGUUUUUUCAUCCAUGUAGUAACUGAAACUCAAUUGCAGUUUGUUCUUCAUAGUGCUGUACAAAUAAUUGUGUGGCUUGAAUAAUGGGUGACAUUCAUAUUUUUGUGAAAAUAAAACAAGUUCAUAAAUUGAUUAUGGAAAGCCUUACCCCACAACUGCAUCCCGAAUACAACUGGUAUCGCUUUCUCAUUAUAGUGUCAGUUCUGUAGACCUGUUUCUAGGUAAAGUAUAUGUCAGUGUUUGGGGGAUUUUAAAAAUAAAUAUUUAAAUCUUAUG